AACGAACGCUGGCGGCAGGCCUAACACAUGCAAGUCGAGCGCGCCCUUCGGGGUGAGCGGCGGACGGGUGAGUAACGCGUGGGAACGUGCCCUUCUCUGCGGAAUAGCCUCGGGAAACUGAGAGUAAUACCGCAUACGCCCUUUGGGGGAAAGAUUUAUCGGAGAAGGAUCGGCCCGCGUUGGAUUAGGUAGUUGGUGGGGUAAUGGCCCACCAAGCCGACGAUCCAUAGCUGGUUUGAGAGGAUGAUCAGCCACACUGGGACUUAGACACGGCCCAGACUCCUACGGGAGGCAGCAGUGGGGAAUCUUAGACAAUGGGGGCAACCCUGAUCUAGCCAUGCCGCGUGAGUGAUGAAGGCCUUAGGGUUGUAAAGCUCUUUCAGCUGGGAAGAUAAUGACGUUACCAGCAGAAGAAGCCCCGGCUAACUCCGUG
rnacentral:rRNA from 1 species